rnacentral:lncRNA from 1 species
GCCCACAAAAAAAAUUCAUGCAAAAAACUAAACACGAUAUUUGUUUAUUUUUUCUUUUUGUGUGAAAAUCUAAGCUAACCCUUGUGAAGAGUCCUAGAAUACAAAAAUAUUGAUUGAAAAUUGAACAUGCAAAAAGGGAAAAAAAUUACAACUUGCACAAGAAAUUAUUACUAAUAGGAAAUUUGAAAUCAAUAUUUCCUUUUUUUUUCUAGAAUUCUAAUUUAUUCUUUUUUUGAAGAGUCCUAGAAUAAAGAAAUUUUUGUUAAAAAGGAAU